UGGGGAAUAUUGCACAAUGGGCGAAAGCCUGAUGCAGCAACGCCGCGUGAGUGGUGAAGGUCUUCGGAUUGUAAAGCUCUGUCUUUUGGGACGAUAAUGACGGUACCAAAGGAGGAAGCCACGGCUAACUACGUGCCAGCAGCCGCGGUAAUACGUAGGUGGCGAGCGUUGUCCGGAUUUACUGGGCGUAAAGGGUGCGUAGGCGGAUGUUUAAGUGAGAUGUGAAAUACCC
rnacentral:rRNA from 1 species